AACGCGAAGAACCUUACCAGGUCUUGACAUCCAUUAAAAACCGUAGAGAUACGGUGUGAGCUUGCUCGUAAUGAGACAGGUGGUGCAUGGUUGUCGUCAGCUCGUGUCGUGAGAUGUUGGGUUAAGUCCCGCAACGAGCGCAACCCUUGUGAUCAGUUACUAACGGGUAAAGCCGAGGACUCUGAUAAGACUGCCGGGGACAACUCGGAGGAAGGUGGGGACGACGUCAAAUCAUCAUGCCCCUUAUGACCUGGGCUACACACGUGCUACAAUGGCCACUACAGAGAGAAGCGAAUUCGAGAGGAAGAGCGGAUCUCAAAAAAGUGGUCUCAGUUCGGACUGUGGGCUGCAACCCGCCCACAUGAAGUCGGAGUUGCUAGUAAUCGCGGAUCAGCAUGCCGCGGUGAAUACGUUCCCGGGUCUUGUACACACCG
rnacentral:rRNA from 1 species